rnacentral:rRNA from 1 species
GACGAACGCUGGCGGCGUGCUUAACACAUGCAAGUCGAACGGAAAGGCCCUGCUUUUGUGGGGUGCUCGAGUGGCGAACGGGUGAGUAACACGUGAGUAACCUGCCCUUGACUUUGGGAUAACUUCAGGAAACUGGGGCUAAUACCGGAUAGGAGCUCCUGCUGCAUGGUGGGGGUUGGAAAGUUUCGGCGGUUGGGGAUGGACUCGCGGCUUAUCAGCUUGUUGGUGGGGUAGUGGCUUACCAAGGCUUUGACGGGUAGCCGGCCUGAGCGGGUGGCCGGCCAAAUUGGGACUGAGAUACGGCCCAGACUCCUACGGGAGGCAGCAGUGGGGAAUAUUGCACAAUGGGCGGAAGCCUGAUGCAGCAACGCCGCGUGCGGGAUGACGGCCUUCGGGUUGUAAACCGCUUUCGCCUGUGACGAAGCGUGAGUGACGGUAAUGGGUAAAGAAGCACCAGCUAACUACGUG